rnacentral:rRNA from 1 species
UACAGAGGGUGCAAGCGUUAAUCGGAUUUACUGGGCGUAAAGGGCGCGUAGGUGGUUAUUUAAGUGAGAUGUGAAAUCCCCGGGCUCAACCUGGGAACUGCAUCUUAUACUGGGUAACUGGAGUGCAAUAGAGGGUAGUGGAAUUUCCGGUGUAGCGGUGAAAUGCGUAGAUAUCGGAAGGAACACCAGUGGCGAAGGCGGCUACCUGGAUUGACACUGACACUGAGGCGCGAGAGCGUGGGGAGCAAACAGG